AACGAACGCUGGCGGCAUGCCUAACGCAUGCAAGUCGAACGAGACCUUCGGGUCUAGUGGCGCACGGGUGCGUAACGCGUUGGAACCUGCCCUUAGGUUCGGAAUAACUCCCCGAAAGGGGUGCUAAUACCGGAUAAUGUCUUCGGACCAAAGAUUUAUCGCCUUUGGAUGGGCCCGCGUUGGAUUAGCUAGUUGGUAGGGUAAAAGCCUACCAAGGCUACGAUCCAUAGCUGGUCUGAGAGGAUGAUCAGCCACACUGGGACUGAGACACGGCCCAGACUACUACGGGAGGCAGCAGUGGGGAAUAUUGGACAAUGGGCGAAAGCCUGAUCCAGCAAUGCCGCGUGAGUGAUGAAGGCCUUAGGGUUGUAAAGCUCUUUUACCCGGGAUGAUAAUGACAGUACCGGGAGAAUAAGCUCCGGCUAACUCCGUG
rnacentral:rRNA from 1 species